rnacentral:snRNA from 1 species
AGCUUUGCAUAGUGGCAGUAUCAUAGCCAAUGAGUUUUAUCUGAGGUGUGAUUAUUGCUAAUUGAAAACUUUUCUCAAAAUACAUUCUCUGCUCUCCCCCCUUUUAACCAUAGAUGUAAUGCAUCAUCAUUUAUGGU